GGUUAUUCACAGAUCAGUGGGUUUUCCAGCUAAUACAGGUCUGAUGCUCUUCUGUCUUCACACAUGGUAUUCAUCAUAUCUUGACAAGAAAAGACCUUCAGUCUACAAAUAACCUUCACUGAAGUAAGACAUGGUAUACUCUUUCUACUUACAAAAAGAAAAAAAGAGAAGUUGUAAAACAGCCCCUCAGGCAAGUCCUUCAAUGCACCUGUUACAUUUUUACCACCAGGCCCAGUUUUAUGUCCAAA